GUGUGAAAAAUUAUAUUAGCUCUUUUAAUCAUAUUAUAACACUUUUGAUUACUAGGUAUCUGUUCUUGUUGUCACCAACACAAACACUUUGGCCCCUCCCCACUUUUAUUACAGCUUUAUCAACUUUGUUUCUUUUUGACAGUCGGUGCUGAAAUGUUCUUUGAUGCCGCCAUUUAUUUUUCUCAAAUUCGUUUUUCUUUUUCCACUUUAUAGCUGAAGAACAAAGGGAAAACAAAAGGCAGUGAUUUUUUAAUUAAAAAAAUUGCCGACAUUGGAACAAGGCAGGACUAAUUUGAUGCAAUAAAACUGAGGUUUCCCGAGCUGUAUAAAUGAAGAAAUUAAUACAAGUUGGAUGAGAAAACGUAUCACCAAAUAGGGGGUAUGCUGUGCGAAGUUCGAUAUGGAUCAAGGUAGAAUUAACAAAAAAGAAUUUAGAGACCAACUUAAG
rnacentral:lncRNA from 1 species